UAGCAAGUAGCUUAAUUGAUUGAGCGCUCCGUUGAUAAUGGAGAGGUUAUUGGUUUAAGCCCAAUCUUGCUAA
rnacentral:tRNA from 1 species